rnacentral:lncRNA from 1 species
CCUUUUAUAGCGGGCUUUCUUGUUUUAUUUCCCAAUAUGUCAGGAACACUUGGCUCUUUGUGCUGUGUGCCCACUUUUGAUUUUUUUUCACUAUGUAUAUGGGGCCAUAGCAAUGCUAUACAUGUUUUGUUGAUGUAAUAUAAUCCUGCUACUUCCUACCAAAAAAAGAAAAAAAGAAAAAAGAAAUUAAGCGUUUUUGCGAAAUUUCCAUACAUUAAUGAGAAUUCA